rnacentral:rRNA from 1 species
AUUGAACGCUGGCGGCAUGCCUUACACAUGCAAGUCGAACGGCAGCACGGGAGCAAUCCUGGUGGCGAGUGGCGAACGGGUGAGUAAAGUAUCGGAACGUGCCCAGUCGUGGGGGAUAACGUAGCGAAAGUUACGCUAAUACCGCAUACGAUCUAUGGAUGAAAGCGGGGGAUCGCAAGACCUCGCGCGAUUGGAGCGGCCGAUAUCAGAUUAGGUAGUUGGUGGAGUAAAGGCUCACCAAGCCGACGAUCUGUAGCUGGUCUGAGAGGACGACCAGCCACACUGGGACUGGGACACGGACCAGACUCCUACGGGAGGCAGCAGUGGGGAAUUUUGGACAAUGGGCGAAAGCCUGAUCCAGCCAUGCCGCGUGCAGGAUGAAGGCCUUCGGGUUGUAAACUGCUUUUGGACGGAACGAAAAGGUUUGGCCUAAUAAGCUGAGCUCAUGACGGUACCGUAAGAAUAAGCACCGGCUAACUACGUGCCAGCCGCCGCCGUAA